AGAGUGCAGGCGCAAUCGGCUGCGCACCGCGUUCGGAUCGCGGGGGUUCCCGGUUCGAGUCCGGGGCACUCUA
rnacentral:tRNA from 1 species